UACAGAGGCCCCCGAGCGUUUAGUCGGAAUUACUGGGCUUAAAGGGUGCGUAGGCGGACUUCUAAGUGUCGCGUGAAAGCCCACGGCUUAACCGUGGAACCGCGCGGCAAACUGGGAGUCUUGAGGAACGUAUAGGCGGGUGGAACGAUAGGUGGAGCGGUGGAAUGCGUAGAUAUCUAUCGGAACGCCAAAGGUGAAGACAGCCCGCUGGGGCGUUUCCUGACGCUGAGGCACGAAAGCGUGGGUAGCAAACAGGG
rnacentral:rRNA from 1 species